UACGUAGGGGGCAAGCGUUGUCCGGAAUCAUUGGGCGUAAAGAGCGUGUUGGCGGCUCGAUAAGUCUGCUGUGAAAGUCCAGGGCUCAACCCUGGAAGGCCGGUGGAAACUGUCGGGCUAGAGUCCGGAAGAGGCGAGUGGAAUUCCCGGUGUAGCGGUGAAAUGCGCAGAUAUCGGGAGGAACACCAAUGGCGAAGGCAGCUCGCUGGGACGGUACUGACGCUGAGACGCGAAAGCGUGGGGAGCAAACAGG
rnacentral:rRNA from 1 species